GGAAUUUUGGACAAUGGGCGAAAGCCUGAUCCAGCAAUGCCGCGUGCAGGAUGAAGGCCUUCGGGUUGUAAACUGCUUUUGUACGGAACGAAAAGUCUCGGGAUAAUACCCUGGGACCAUGACGGUACCGUAAGAAUAAGCACCGGCUAACUACGUGCCAGCAGCCGCGGUAAUACGUAGGGUGCAAGCGUUAAUCGGAAUUACUGGGCGUAAAGCGUGCGCAGGCGGUUAUAUAAGACAGAUGUGAAAUCCCCGGGCUCAACCUGGGAACUGCAUUUGUGACUGUAUAGCUAGAGUACGGUAGAGGGGGAUGGAAUUCCGCGUGUAGCAGUGAAAUGCGUAGAUAUGCGGAGGAACACCGAUGGCGAAGGCAAUCCCCUGGACCUGUACUGACGCUCAUGCACGAAAGCGUGGGGAGCAAACAGGAUUAGAUACCCUUG
rnacentral:rRNA from 1 species